rnacentral:rRNA from 1 species
GAUGAACGCUGGCGGCGUGCCUAAUACAUGCAAGUCGAGCGAACGGACGAGAAGCUUGCUUCUCUGAUGUUAGCGGCGGACGGGUGAGUAACACGUGGAUAACCUACCUAUAAGACUGGGAUAACUUCGGGAAACCGGAGCUAAUACCGGAUGAUAUUUUGAACCGCAUGGUUCAAAAGUGAAAGACGGUCUUGCUGUCACUUAUAGAUGGAUCCGCGCUGCAUUAGCUAGUUGGUAAGGUAACGGCUUACCAAGGCAACGAUGCAUAGCCGACCUGAGAGGGUGAUCGGCCACACUGGAACUGAGACACGGUCCAGACCCCUACGGGAGGCAGCAGUAGGGAAUCUUCCGCAAUGGGCGAAAGCCUGACGGAGCAACGCCGCGUGAGUGAUGAAGGUCUUCGGAUCGUAAAACUCUGUUAUUAGGGAAGAACAUAUGUGUAAGUAACUGUGCACAUCUUGACGGUACCUAAUCAGAAAGCCACGGCUAACUACGU